UACGAAGGGGGCUAGCGUUGCUCGGAAUUACUGGGCGUAAAGCGCGCGUAGGCGGCUUUGUAAGUUAGAGGUGAAAGCCCGGAGCUCAACUCCGGAAUUGCCUUUAAGACUGCAUCGCUAGAAUCAUGGAGAGGUGAGUGGAAUUCCGAGUGUAGAGGUGAAAUUCGUAGAUAUUCGGAAGAACACCAGUGGCGAAGGCGACUCACUGGACAUGUAUUGACGCUGAGGUGCGAAAGCGUGGGGAGCAGACAGG
rnacentral:rRNA from 1 species